rnacentral:rRNA from 1 species
GAUGAACGCUGGCGGCGUGCUUAACACAUGCAAGUCGAACGCUGGGACGUGAUGCUUGCAUCUCUUAUGUUAGUGGCGGACGGGUGAGUAAUACGUGGAUAACCUACCUUUGACUCUGGGAUAACUUCGGGAAACUGGGGCUAAUACCGGAUAUUACUUUCAACUGCAUGGUUCUAUAUUGAAAGACGUUUUUGCUUUCUCUUAUGGCUGGCUCCGUCUCGCCUUAGCUAGUUGGUAAGGUCACGACUUACCAAGGCAACGAUGCGUAGCCGACGUGAGAGAGUGAUCGCCCACACGGGAGCGGAGACACGGACCAUGCGCCUGCGAGAGGGAGCAGUAGGGAAUGUGACGCAAUAGGCGAAAGCCUGGCAGAGCGGGGCGGCGUGAGAUAUGGAGGUCUUCGGAGAGGAAAACUCGGUUAUGAGGGAAGAACAUAUGUGUGAGUAGAUGAACAGAGAGUGACGGUACGUAAAGAGAAAGCCACGGCUAACUACGUG